GCCCCUGUGGUGAAAAGGAUAUCACACAGGCCUCCGAAGCCUGGAGUCCGCGUUCGAUUCGCGGCGGGGGCA
rnacentral:tRNA from 1 species